AUGAAGGUCUGUAUCCAGCCAUCAAGGAACAUUUUCAAGACAGAUGUCCUUAAUUUGGAUCAUAGUUUGAAGGCUCAUCGAGAAAUGGCUGUGUUGCUAAUGAGAAAGUCACCAGGAGAAGAGGAAGAAUCUGGCACGAAGACCUCACCUCCUUCCUGCCAGAGAUGGAACAGUAGUGACUUGGCAACAGUCUCAAGCCAGAUGUCACCCUCAUCUGGUUGCCUUGGCUGGUUUAACAGCUAGGAUACUCCUUCAGGAGAUUGCAGGCUUUUGUAGAGAAAGGUGCUGUGCGUGUAGGAGAACCA